UUGAGAGUAGGGUAUACGCGUUAAGUGCCAGGAGACGGAAUGUUGCUGCUGGACGAAGGACUGUGUGUUCGUGGUGUCUGCCCGCAUUCGCUCAA
rnacentral:ncRNA from 1 species